rnacentral:rRNA from 1 species
GAUGAACGCUGGCGGCGUGCCUAAUACAUGCAAGUCGAGCGAACAGAUAAGGAGCUUGCUCCUUUGACGUUAGCGGCGGACGGGUGAGUAACACGUGGAUAACCUACCUAUAAGACUGGGAUAACUUCGGGAAACCGGAGCUAAUACCGGAUAACAUAUUGAACCGCAUGGUUCAAUAGUGAAAGGCGGCUUUGCUGUCACUUAUAGAUGGAUCCGCGCCGUAUUAGCUAGUUGGUAAGGUAACGGCUUACCAAGGCAACGAUACGUAGCCGACCUGAGAGGGUGAUCGGCCACACUGAACUGAGACACGGUCCAGACUCCUACGGGAGGCAGCAGUAGGGAAUCUUCCGCAAUGGGCGAAAGCCUGACGGAGCAACGCCGCGUGAGUGAUGAAGGUCUUCGGAUCGUAAAACUCUGUUAUCAGGGAAGAACAAAUGUGUAAGUAACUGUGCACAUCUUGACGGUACCUGAUCAGAAAGCCACGGCUAACUACGUG